GUUAUGGCGCACCGGGUCCCGUACUUCCGUUGCGUAGCAAUCCUCUGUUGGCCACAGAGGAUUGCUACGGUGCAUCGACAGCGGUGGUGAUGCCCGC
rnacentral:misc_RNA from 1 species